AUGCAUUUAACUUCAAAAAGUCAAGUAUAUGCGUUUGGCAGAAAAGACAAAUAAUGUAAGUAUAGCAGGUUCUGCCUGCCAUGCCAUUCACUGAACUUAUCCCUGCAAUGAGCAUGCAGUGGGAAAUAGGAAUCUCUGGUUGUUUCAUUUGGUGUCAGUUUUCACUUAACUCUAGACAUAAACCUCCAUAUAAAAUCAACUGUAUUAAAUAGGAGUUUUUAUAAUAAAUUGAAUAGCUGCAUUAAUAUAGUUUGAACUCCUAGUCACAGAACAAUACCAGUCACAGAACAGUCCUAAGGUAUAUUUUUUUCUAUUGUGUUUUUAUUUUAGGUGCUUAUAACAAUGCAGGUCUGGUACCAUUAGCGAAUGUCAUAGCUCCACCUCCACCUCCAUAUACUCCUAAUCCUGUAGGAACAGAGAAUGAAGACCUUUCGAAUCCGUCAAAACCUAUACAGAAUCAAACAUUUUCCACCCCAGCAAGUCAACUCUUUUCUCCUCAUGGUUCUAAUCCUUCAACACCUGCUGCAACUCCUGUUCCUACUGCAUCCCCAGUCAAGGCAAUUAAUCAU
rnacentral:lncRNA from 10 species